CUCCAGACCUGAUUUAAAGAGAUAGGCUCCUCGGAAGGGAGCGUUCCUUGCCUUGGCAUGAAUUAUUCAGGCUGGAGAGGCUGACACUUGAUCCCCAGGCCACUCUGGUAUCAGCAGAGCUGGUUGGGAUAGAAGCUCCCCCAUCCACCCCCCAUAGGAAUCAGUUAGUCUUUCUCCUAAAUUAGGGACAUUUGUUGGAUUGACUUCUUCCCUGAGGUUAUAUUUAACAGAUUGACCAACAGAUCAAUAGCACUUAAGGAGAAGAGGCCGACCCUGCGGUGGCCUGGGUCCCAGGCAAAGACCAACAACAUCAAGGACCAGCGUUCCUGAUCUGUCCAUGGUGCUGAAUGUCUUUAUCCUUCUUGCCACUGCCUGCCUCAGAAUGGCUACUUUCAAAAGGGAAAAUAUCCCUUAUGGCCAGAGUCCUCAGCUGGGAUUGAAGAAAUAGGAAGAGAGAGAAGAGCCCUAGACCCUUUGCUGUCAGAGAGAUGGACCCCAGAUGAAGGUGCUAGCCCUUUCUUGACCUUGGGGACUUCCCCAUAUUGAAAGGAGAUGGGAAGUUAGCCACCACAGCAAGAGUACCCUUAUGGAGAGGCUCGCAUAAAAAACUAAACCCUUUGACCAACUGCCAGCAAAAAAUGGAGGCCUGACUACAACCACAGAGUGAGCCUGGAAGUGGAUCCCUGUUAAGCCUUCUGAUGACUGCAGCCCUGUCUGACACUUGACUGCAACCUCAUGAGAGAUCCUGAGCCACAACCUCCCAGUCAGUCCACUUCUGGAUUCUCAAUCCACAGAAAUUGUGUGAGAUAAUAAAUAUGUGUUAUUUUAAGCUGUUAUAUUUAAGUUUUGGGGUAGUUUGUUACUUGGUAGUAGUUAACUACUGUAGUGCUAUAUUGUCACGUUACAUCCUCACAACAACCCUGAAAGGUAGAGUUUGUGUCUUCCAUUGUGUGUGUGUGU